rnacentral:rRNA from 1 species
CCUACGGGAGGCAGCAGUGAGGAAUAUUGGUCAAUGGGCGAGAGCCUGAACCAGCCAAGUCGCGUGAGGGAGUACUGCCCUAUGGGUUGUAAACCUCUUUUGUCGGGGAGCAAAAGCCGGACGUGUCCGGCUGUGAGAGUACCCGAAGAAAAAGCAUCGGCUAACUCCGUGCCAGCAGCCGCGGUAAUACGGAGGAUGCGAGCGUUAUCCGGAUUUAUUGGGUUUAAAGGGUGCGUAGGCGGAAUGCCAAGUCAGCGGGAAAAUCGCGGGGCUCAACCUCGCUCCGCCGUUGACACUGGCGUGCUUGAGUGGGCGAGAAGUAUGCGGAAUGCGGGGUGUAGCGGUGAAAUGCAUAGAUAUCACGCAGAACUCCGAUUGCGAAGGCAGCAUACCGGCGCCCAACUGACGCUGAAGCACGAAAGCGUGGGUAUCGAACAGGAUUAGAUACCCUUGUAGUC